AUUUUGUAAAGGGGGGCUGAAAUUUUUUUUUUUUGAGAAAAUAGAGGUCGAAAGGUUUUCUGUGAACAAAAAAGGGAUUUUACGGUUGAUUUUCUUUGACGUGGUCAUUUAAAGUUUAAGAAAACCUAGUUACAAAUUUUCUUCAUCUUUUGAAUCUGGAUUUUGAGUUCCUGGGGGAUACAAAUUGAAGUUCGAGCUAUUUUUACUGUUGUUCUGUUGAGUAGCUACUGAACCUCGAUAGGAUUCGGAAUCAAAAGGUGUAUUGUCGUGAACAUAGUUAUUAAAUGGAUUUGAAAUUUCAGGUUCAGUUUCUUUCUCUUUCGCAUCUCUGUUAUAAAGUAUAUUUGAACAAUGAGAUUUUGUUCAGAAUGAUGUUUGGUUUUGGGCGUAAUUCUUUUGUGGUUGAAGUGCUUCACAACGGUGUGAUGUAUUUGAAUAUUUUUAGUUAGUAGAAGUUGAUUUUGAGUGGUCAUUUUUCUAUGAUUUAAUAGUUAUUGUGAUGUUGAGUUUCAUUUGAGUCAAGGUUUUGUCGCUUUCAAAUGAACGAUGUGCUCAACUUCCGUGAUUGCUAAGCGAGCAUGAAACUGUGAGGUUAUUUUUCAUUUUGUGUGCUCUAAAUGAUCUGCUCCCAUGAGAUCAUUGUGUUUAUCAGAAUUUUUCUUUCUUUAGGCUAGAAUUUACUAAAUUGUUUAAUCUUCUUUUUCCCUAGUUUUUAUUACUAUUUGACCUGUUCUUGCUUGUCUGGAGCUGCUGAAGUUCUCCUCAACAGUAUGCGAUCCUUAUGUCUUAUCAUUUGAGAUGACCAGUGAGUUUCAUGUCUCCAGUGGUCAUUUCUGUUUGUUGAACAUCUUAAAACAACAUUUAACAUGUAACUUAUUAGUGUGUGUUUUGCUUCACUUGAAAGCAGCUGAUAUCUGUUAGCUUUUCUUGAAUCUUUUGUCCUGUUGAAGCAUAAAGGAUGAGACUCCAUCCCCUGACUAAAUGGUUAAAUGCUUUGUUUUAAUCGAUGGUUGAGGCGUGUUGUUUUAUCUUGGUUUUGUUUUAUAGAAGAUGGCAGUGUUUAGCCCGAGCUAGCAACAGAGUCACGAGUUUGAUAUUAGGGAAAGUGUUUCUUUUACUGCAAUAUUGUUUGAAAGCAUAUGAGUAUAUGGUCGAAUCCCUGUUUAUGAAUCUGUGUCGACUGGCGAAAGAGAUAGAUAAGCCAGUUAAAUGAGGAGAUGAGUUCGGAGACAGAUUGUUGGAUGAACAUCUUAAUUAUGCUUGGGUUAACUUUGAUUGUUUCUUGUGUGGAAUGAUAACAAGAUGAACGUGAUAAAACUCGACGACAUAGGCCUAAAGUAUCCUAAGGGUUUUGUUUACUCAGCGUAGUAGAAUUACAUAUUGAACAGACUCUCUUAAUUGCUGCAUGACCUCCCAGAAUGGCUGCUACAGAUGGGUUUGUAGAUUUGAAUGUUGAGUUGUUUGCGAGGUCUAUUUGUGUUCAAAUCAUAUACAUUUUACCCUUAAGUUAGGUUAAAGCGUAUGAAUAGCCAAACUGUUAUCAUGUUUAACAUCUAUGUAUUACCAUUAAUCAUGUGUCUGUAGAUUUUAACGAAAGCAAUGGGGCUGUUUGACACUAAAAUGUUCACUCAUUGAGGGUAAAUAUGAAUAGCCAAAUUGUUAUUAUGUUUAAUACAUAAUCAUAUGUUUGUGGAUUUUAACAAACUAGGUAUCUGAUAUUUGUCAGCUGCGAUUUGUCUAACACUCCUGAACGUAGAAAUUUAAAGGGGUAAUCUCUGAAAGUGUUGGAUGAUUGGGAUAAAGGAUCUUCACAGAAGCUAUUCUUUGAACUCUGCUUUGGAACAUGUGGUCUUUUAAUAGCUGAAUGAAAAGAUAAUUCUAUGGUAGUUUUGCCCUCUACUGUUUUCAUGGCUGUGAUUAUGUGCUUGGACUUGACAGAAAGGCAUCUGAGUCGUGUUUUCAUAUUAUUGUUGUUUUGACCUUGGAUUGCUGCAAUCAUCAUCUUCCAAUUUUGAUGUUUAUUGAAUCUCAAGGGGUGUAACUCAGAUUUCCAAACUGACCCUUCCUCGAAAUAUAUUUUGUUUGGCUUAGCUUGUAGGCACCUGUGGGGUUGCAUCACUAAUAUUUGGAUGAGUUUUGUAGUUUCACAUUUAUGCCCUUCACUUAUUAGGACAUGAUUUGCUGGUAAGUGAACCUCAACUAGGGGGAGGAUGCAAGGGAAAAAUGUGUUUUGGUAGAUUCAUGAGUUAAGCAGAACAAUGUUAUUUUUCUUUACUCUGUGUGACAUGUUUCUUUUAUUUUAGGCUUGGUGUUUCCCUUUUUUUUUUUUAAAAAAAAUUAUGCCUAUGUAUUGAAUUCUUGUCACGAGGGACUUUGGGCCUAGUAAAGUGUAGUCCUAGCUCACGGUGAAAAUCAAUGUGCCAGCUAGAUCUCAAGUAACCCAUUUGUUUUAGUUGAGUAAAAUUCUUUAAAAUUAAAGUCGAGGUGCGCGGCACCAAAUGUGACAAAUGCGUGGCCCUUAUAUAAUUAUUUCUUUGAAAAUACUUAGAAUUCGAGGCGUUCCAUUUAGCUAAUUUUUAUGGCCCUCGCAAAGUUAAUAACGCGUUAUUUGUUUUAGGCGCAUAUUUUAAUAAUUUAUAUUCUUAAAUAUAGGUGUGCACUUAUGUGACCCAAAUCUAAAUCUCAACGGAGUUGUAACGUGUCAAAAACCAUGGGCGCAUUUAUGUGACGUAGUUUGCGACAUGUUUUAACAACGUUGCAAUUUUCUUUUAAAAUAAAAUUGUUUAAAGAUUCAAAUGCACAUAGGUUCAUAAUUGUAUAAAAUCAGAUAAUUUAAGUCAAAUAUAACAUUUGAGCGAUCGUGCUAGAACCACGAAAUUCGGCAGUGCCUAACACCUUCUCUCGGGUUAACAGAAUUCCUUACCCGGAUUUCUGGUUCGCGGACUGUUAAACAGAGUCAUUCUUUCCUCGAUUCGGGAUUCUAACCGGUGAAUCGAGACACCAUAAAUCUCCCGAGUGGCGACUCUAAAAUUCUUUUUAAUAACUGAAUCCCGUUUUGAUUGUCCUUUAAUUGGAAAAACUCCCUUAUCUACGCCUUUCGCCGGGUUGUGAUAGCCAACAAAGAGGUGUGACACGCACCAUACCGUUAAUUCUUGCAUGAUCCCUGUCAAUAAUUCCGGUCAAUACAGUUUAGGCACAUCCCCAAAGUUCACAAUGAGGUCGCCGAUGCCUUGGCUACUUUGGCGUCAAUGUUACAUCACCCCGACAUGGCUUAUGUCGACACAAUAUGUAUCCGAGUCCAUGAUCAAUAUGCUUAUUGCAACAUUGUGGAAGAGGAGCACAACGGUGAGACUUGGUUCCACGACAUCGAGGAAUAUAUCACGAAGGGUGUGUACCCGAUGCAAGCCACGAGUGACUAGAAGAGAACAAUUCUUCGUUUGUCGUGUGGAGUUUUCUUCAGUUGAGGGAUAAUAUACACAAAAAUGCCAGAUCUCGGUUUGCUAAGAUGCGUGGAUGCUGGGUAGGCAACGAUCAUCAUGAAUGAGGUGCAUGCUGGCGUCUGUGGGCCACACAUGAGCGGAUAUGUUUUGGCAAAGAAGAUUCUCUGGGCAGGAUAUUUGAAGAAUGAUAUCCAGGAACUUAUGAANNNNNNNNNNNNNNNNNNNNNNNNNNNNNNNNNNNNNNNNNNNNNNNNNNNNNNNNAGGCCACACAUGAGCGGAUAUGUUUUGGCAAAGAAGAUUCUCCGGGAAGGGUAGCAUUGGCUUACCAUGUAGCGGGAUUGUAUCAGCUUUGUGUGUAAAUGCCACCAGUGUCAGGUAUACAGAGACCUAAUUAACUCUCUUCCGUCUGAAUUGCAUACGAUGUCGGCACCAUGGCCCUUCGUUGCUUGAGGCAUGGGUUCCAUCGGGCCCAUCAAGCCAGCAACCUCUAACGGGCACAGAUUUAUCCUGGUUGCUAUUGACUAUUUCACCAAAUGGAUUGAAGCCAAAACCUUCAGUGCAGUAACAAAGAAGGUCGUGGUCGAUUUGGUGCACACAAACAUUAUUUGUUGGUUUGGGAUCCCCAAAACACUCAUCACUGAUAAUGGAGCAAACCUCAACAGCCACCUAAUGAGAGAGGUAUGUCAGCAGUUCAAUAUCACAUAUCGAAACUCUACCCCGUACCGCCCCAAGGCAAACAGAGCGGUCGAGGCAGCAAAUAAGAAUAUAAAGAAGAUACUUUGUAAAAUGGUGGAAGGAUCCAGGCAAUGGCAUGAGAAGCUGCCUUUUGCAUUGUUAGGUUACCGCACCACUGUCCGCACUUCAGUGGGGGCUACUCCAUACUUGUUGGUAUACGGCACGGAGGCGGUAAUCCCGGCCGAGAUUGAAAUCCCCUCUCUUAGAAUCGUGGGCGAAGCAGGAAUCGACGACGAAGAAUGGGUCAAACACGGUUGGAACAAUUGAAUUUGAUUGAUGAGAAAAGGUUGGCGGCGGUCUGUCAUGGCCAGUUGUAUCAACAAAGAAUAGCCAGGGCAUAUAAUAAAAAGUUGUGCUCUAGAAAGUUCGAAGUAGGUCAGCUGGUACUAAAGCGCAUCCAUCCUCCCCAGGCCGAGGCAAAAGGCAAGUUCGCUCCAAACUGGCAAGGACCAUUCAUUGUAUAAAGAGUGUUGUCUAAUAGUGCAUUGUAUCUGACGGACGUGGAAGGGAAAUGUGCGAAAAUGACUAUCAAUGCGGAUGCUGUCAAAAGAUAUUAUGUAUGAUUUUCUUUAGAACAUUGUUUAUACUUGACAUCUGUUUGUACUUGGCAAGUUUUGAAGAUUGAAAUGGCGAAGGCAUUUUGUUCGACUACCUAAACAAUUUAUCCUUUGCUAACCCUUUUGAGCUUUAAUUAUUUUCUUUCAUACUCCUCUUUCGGAAUCGAUAACGAAGUCAGAAACGCAGGUGUGAGAAGACAAUGAAAGGAAAGGAACGGAAAGAAUGAAAAUAAAAGAAAAGAAAGGAAAAAAAACAAAAGAAGAGAAAAAGAAAAGAAAAACAAGAAAAGAGAAAAAGGAAAAAGAAAGAAAAAGAAAACAAAACAAAGGAAAAGGAAAAGGAAAGAAAAAGAAAACAAAACAAAGGAAAAGAAAAAAUAAAAAAAACAAACAAAGAAGAAGAAAAACAGAAAAAGGGAGAAGAAAAAACAACAACAAAAACAAAGAAUCGCAUGAACUACGUUCGACCUGAUUCCUUUUAAAAAGGUACGUAGGCAUCCUCACUGUUCGGUCUCAUCAAAAUAAAAAUUCAAAAGUCCCCAAGCAAGAAAAUGGGGCAGAAGUUGUGUUUGUUAUAAGAAGUUGAUUCUGAAAGUUGCAGUUUACACCCAUUUGAAUUGUUUUGAGCCUUUGAUACCCUUUCUUUCUAACACCAUCCAAAAGCCUACGUUACGGUCCAAAGAAUGACCGUCCGAUUAGUCUUCAAAAUUUCGAGUCGAGCAGGUAAAGGGUAUUCAUGUCAGGGACAACACUCUGAGCCAGAUGAGAGAGGUAAUAAAAUAAGAUGGUCUUAGCGGUGAGAACCCUCACGGGCACCAUAAGGUGAUGAAAGUUUGAGAGAAAAUAAAAUGAGAGAGUCUUAUCGGUGAAAACCUUCACGGGCACCGUGAGGCGAAGGUAAGGCAAAAGCAAAACUCAGAAAGGGGAUAUUGAUGGAUGAACAGUACGGGGCAAGACGAGUUAGGGCUUGGUUAAAAGGAUUGGUUCGUAAAAGGUUAUAAUGACAAAAGCACGGCAGAAGAAGGUUGGUCAUCGAAACAGAUUGGAUUGACUAAGCCGAAGUGCAUGUCAUGAUCUUGAAAACCAGUUGCUUGUCUUUAAAUAAAUUUUCUUUCUUUUCUUUUCAAUAGUCAGCGAGUCUGGAAUUCUUUACCUUAAAUAUCAUUCAGAGUCUUUGAAUUUCAUUUUCUAUCAAGUCUAAAAACUUUUUUUAAGCCGACGAAAGGAACGUCAAAGCCGAUUAUCAAACUCCUAAAGAACCAAGGCACAUGCUGCCCAAAGGCGCAACAAAGAUAACAAGUGAGGAACAACAAAUGGAAGGAUUCAUAAAAAUAAAUAAAAUAAAAAACUAUUGUAAUUGAUGGAAGAGACAAUAAUUGGCAAAGUGAAGGAGUACCACACAAAGAGGGGUAUGCAAAUGAAACCACAAAGGUUCUGGGGUCAGCCGAGCGUCAUACGCCGAUUGGGCUAUCUCAGAUGGAACGUAAAGUUGGCACAACACGAAAACAGGAAAGGUCACAAGGUCGCAGGGUUUGACUAAGUGUAAUACGUCAGUCAUCAGGGAAAGACAUAAAGAAGCCCGGUGAAGGAUCGAGAGUGCAACAUAGGGUAAGAAGCAAAGUGAGGACAUAAAGGUCAAGAGUCUGUCGAGCAUCCUGAAUGGGCCGGGUAGUCUUAGGAAAGGGAUAAGGAUUUCGGGCGGGGGUUCAAAAAGGUAACACCGGGAUGAUAAACAAAACAAAGCCAUGAGGGUUAAAGGAUCAGCCAAGCAUAACACCCUAACUCAGCAAUCGUUAGAGAAGGGUAUAAGGCUUAUGGCAAAAGAGGAGAAAGCACACCACAAAGGUGGUAAUGUCCAUGAGAGUCGACCAAGCAUGAUAUAUAAACUCGCCAAUCGUCGGGAAGAGGCAAAAGAGAAUGAUGGUAAAGGGUCGGAAAUGCAACACAAAGAUGAGGAGUAGUGUGAAGGUACAUGGGUCAAAGGGUCAGCCAAACAUAAUACGCUGACUUGGUAAUCUCAGGAAAGAUGUAAGAAUUCUGGCAAAUGGGCCAUGAGUGUAACACAACAUUGGGGGAGCAAAGUAAAGCUAUAAGGGCUCGGGGUCAGCCAACCCACUCAAGCAACUCAUCAUCAGCAUAUGAAUUUGAAUACAACGGAACACGACAACGGGAUGGCUAUCUUCAAUAAGAAUUCCGCGAGCCAACCAUCACUAUUUAAACUGACAAGUUUUCUUUGAUUGGCACAGGGGCAGAAAUUCUCAGAAGAGCGUAAGGGGGGCCGUCCAUAGGAGAAGGGAGGCACACAACAGGUAUGAUUAGAAAUCUCAGGGACCACCAGGAAGUGAUACUCAAUUAAAAUUCAAAAGGGACAUAGUCCGUUAUAAACACCCUCCCCAACAAAGAGCACAAUGGGUCAAACUUUAACUAGAAAACCCCAAUAGAAGCAAUCGAAGGUUAAAAGAGGCAUAGAAGUUGAGAUGGAACGCAGUCUAAAACUUAAACAGGUGCGGGUAAAUGGUCAAAUACCAACACCUCCCCAAUAAGAGUUGCAAAAACAACUAGAAAUAGAAUUGGCAUUUAAGUUGGAACCUUCAGGACCCUCCUAGAAAAUGGGACUCAUUUUAAGGAUAAGAGUAAUCAUAGAUAACAAAGGGCAUAAAAUGACUUGCAUGUUGAAGUAGGAUUUAGUUAAGAGUUUUCAGGACCCUUCUGGAAAAUGGGACUUAUCUUAGAACACAAAUAGUCAGUUGGCAAGGUCAAAUCCAAAUACUUCCCCAACCAGAGUCAAUAAGAGUCAUCAGGACCCUCCUGAAAAAUUGGAACUUAGAGCCAAAAUCUCCCUAGCCAGAGUCAACAAGAGUCAAAAAGAGUCAUCAGGACCCUACUAAAAAAUGGAACUUAGAGCCAAAAUAUCCCAAGCUAGAGUUAAUAAGAGUCAAGAAAAGUCAUCAGGACCCUCCUGAAAAUGGGAUUUAGAGGGAAAAUUUCAAAUUUCCCCAGCUGAGUCAGCAAGAGUCAUCAGGACCCUCCUGAGGAUGGGACUUAGAUUACAUACUUCCCCAGCAAGAGUCAACAAGAGUCGUGAAGACCCCCCUGUUAGCGGGAUGUAGCCUUAAAUACUAAACCCAAGCUGUCACCUUUUUGUCAUCAAAUUAGGAGUUGUCAGGACCCGCGUGGAUAUUGAGAGAUGGUUUUAAUCAUUAUUCACCAGCAGAUAUAACUCAUAGCAAUACAUAGUGGAAAAUAAUACCUUUUUAGAAACAUAACAUAGUCUUGAAAUUGUCAGCAACUGAGAAUUGACAGGACCAAUUUUAGUGAUCAGGCGCCCACCUGUAGUACAAGGGAAUAUUUAUUUAAAGUUUUAGUAAUCAGUCGCCCACCUGUAGAACAAGGGAAUAUUAUUCAAAAUUUAAGUUUUGGUAAUCAGGUUCCCACCUGGAGAAUAAGGGAAUAUUUUUCAAAAUUUCAAAUCUUGGUAAUCAGGCACCCACCUGUAGAACAACGGAAUAUUUUUCAAAAUUUUAAGUUUUGGUAAUCAGGCACCCACCUGUAGAAUAAGGGAAUGUUUUUUAAAAUUUUAUGUUUUAGCAAUUAGGCGUCCACCUGUAGAACAAGGGAAUAUUAUUAAAAAUUUCAAGUUUUUGUAAUCAGGCGCCCACAUGAAGAAUAAGUGAAAAUUUUUCAAAAUUUUAAGUUUUAGUAAUCAGGUGCCCACGUGUAGAACAAGAGAAUAUUUUUCAAAAUCCAAGUUUUUGUAAUCAGGCGCCCACAUGCAGAACAAGUGAAUAUUUUUCAAAAUUUCAAAGUUUUGGUAAUCAGGCACCCACCUGUAGAAUAAGGAAAUAUUUUUCAAAUUGUAAAGUUUUUGCAAUUAGGCGCCCACCUAUAGAACAAGGGAAUAUCUUUCAAAAGUUUAAGUUUUGGUAAUCAGGCGCUCACCUGUAAAACAAGGAAAUAUUUUCCAAAUAUUCAAGUGUUUGCAAUCAGGCGUCCACCUUAGAACAAGGGAAUAGCUUUCAAAAUUUCAAAGUUUUAGCAAUCAGGCGCCCACCUGUAGAUAAGGGAAUAUUUUUUAAAAUCCAAGUUUUUGUAAUCAGGCGCCCACCUGUAGAACAAGGGAAUAUUUUCAAAAUUUCAAACUUUAGUAAUCAAGCGUCCACCUAGAGAAUAAGGGAAUAUUUUUCAAAUUUUCAAGUUUUUGUAAUCAGGCGCGCACAUGUAGAAUAAGGGAAUAUUUUUCAAAAUUCAAGUUUUUGUAAUCAGGCGCUCACCUAUAGAACAAGGGAAUAUUUUUCAAAAUUUCAAAGUUUUGUAAUCAGGCGCCCACCUGGAGAACAAGAGAAUAUUUUUCAAUAUUUCAAGUUUUUAUAAUUAGGUGCCCACCUGUAGAACAAGGGAAUAUUUUUUAAAAUCUAAGUUUUUGUAAUUAGGCGCCCACAUAUACAACAAGGGAAUAUUUUUUAAAAUUUCAAAGUUUUGGUAAUUAGGUGCCCACCUCUAGAAUAAGGAAUAAUUUUCAAAUUUUAAUGUUUUUGACAAUCAGGAGCCACCUAUAAAACAAGGGAAUAUUUUUCAAAUUUCAAGUUUUUGAUAAUCAGGAGCCCACCUGUAGAACAAAGGAAUAUUUUACAAAAUUCAAGUUUUUAUAAUUAGGCGUCCACCUGUAGAACAAGGAAAUAGUUUUAAAAAAUGCAAGUUCAGCACCCACCUGGAAAACAAGGGAAUACAUUUCAGUCUCAUUUAAGUUAUGAUAAUCAGGCAUCCACCUGGAGAACAAGGGAGCACAAUUCGAGUUCAGCAAUCAGACACCCACCUGGAGAACAAGGGAAUAUUUCUCGGAAGUCAAGUUUUGAUGAUCAAGUGCCCACCUGCAGAACAAGGGAAGAUCGUUCAAAUUGCGAGUUCAAGCAGCAAGGCGCCCACAUGUAGAACGAGGGAAUGCUUUCAACGGAGUACAUCUUAAGACCAACAAUUCGGCAUCAAACAUAGAGGAAGAGAAAGGCAAGACAACAAGGCAACAAGGAUUCAUAGCAACUCGGAAGAUAUAUAUAGUUUUUCUUGUAAUCCAUAGUUCAUAGCUUAGUGUAGCUUCUAUAUUUUUCACAAUGGUGUAAUAAGGGGGUCUAGCAGCAGUAGCUGGAGCAGCAACAGUAAAAUCACAACCUCGGUAGUCCCACCUACCAAACACUCCUAAGCUACACUGACCUGAUUCCUAUUCAGCCGAGGAUAUGUAGGCAACCUCAAAAGCAGGAUGCAGUCAAACUUUUCAAAAAUGCUUCUCACGGAAGGUUCAAACGGGCCAAAAUCGUUCAUGUUUAUUCACUUAUCUUUGCACGAAAGCUCUUCGUGUUUCCGCGCAAAGAGUAGAAACUGUUAGCAUGUGAUUUUUGCCCUAUAUGAAUUACUCCCAUAAAUUCAAAACAAUAUAAUUUCGUUUGUUUAUUUGCAAUUUUGAUUUUUCGUGGCAUUAUUCUAUUAAUGGUUUCCAUUUUAUGCAUUUUUUUAAUAACAAAAAUAUAAAAAUACAUAAGGCAUGUGCACUUAGGAGUAAUUUUGUAUUUUUAAGAAAUUAAUUAGCAAUUGGGAAAGAAAAUUAAAAAAUGGCUUAAUUUGCUCUUAAGAUCGAUAUCGAGUAAUUCUUUUUCUCUUAAUCUUUUUUAAAUAUGUGAUAAUAAUUAUUGUAUGGCUAAUAAGGUUUUUAAGGUUAAUUAGUAAUUUUUAGGUUUUAAAUAAUUUUAAAAACUACAAAAAGAAGAAUAGCGAAAAUCUGAAACUAAGUAAAAAAGGACCCAAAUUGGGCCAUAUAUACAAUUAAAUCAGCCCAAACCCCCUUCUCCUUUCAAGAUCAGCCCAAACCCACACCCAAUGCCUCGACCCCACCCAUGCCCUAGAAUAACACCUGAUUAAAGAGACAAACCUUAAUCCCUAAAAUCCCAGAAACACCGCGUGACUAUUCCCCUUCUCCACAGAACACACCUGAAUCAACUCUAAUUCAGUCAAAAUUAAAGCUAGUGAAUCUCAAAAACAUAACCACGCGACCCUCAUUCUCUCAUCUUGCUAUUUCUAACAGUUUCUGGUGGAAGAUUCCUCCUACUCGCUCAAUUGAGCCUUAUCUUUGAUUGGAAGCUUCUGGAAAGGAUUUGCUGGAUGAGUGUGAGGCGUUGGAUUGAUUUCACUCAAUCCAAGCCCCACAUUCAUCAGGAAUUCAUUUCCAAAAAGAAGCUCGAUUAGAUUUUGUAAAGUGGGGGCUGAAAAAAAUAAUUUAGAGAAAAAAGAGGUCGAAAGGUUUUCUGUGAAAAAAGGGAUUUUCCGGAUUUAUUUUCUUUGACGAGGUCAUUUAAAGUUUAAGAAAACCUAGAUACAAUUUUUCUUCAUCUUUUGAAUCCGGAUUUAAGUUCCUGAGGGAUACAAAUUGAAGUUCGAUCUAUUUUUACUGUUGUUCUGUUGAGUCGCUACUGAACCUCGAUAGGAUUCAGAAUCAAAAGGUGUAUUGUCGUGAACAUAGUUAUUAAAAGGAUUUGAAAUUUCAGGUCCGAUUUCUUUCUCUUUCGCAUCUCUGUUAUAAAGUAUAUUUGAACAGUGAGAUUUUGUUCAGAAUGAUGUUUGGUUUUGGACGUAAUUCUUUUGUGGUUGAAGUGCUUCUCAGCGCUGUGAUGUAUUUGAAUAUUUUCAGUUAGUAGAAGUUGGUUUUGAGUGGUCGGUUUUAUAUGAUUUAAUUUUUAUUGUGAUGUCGAUUUUCAUUUGAGUCAAGGUUUUGUCACUUUCAAAUGAACGAUGUGUUCAACUUCCGUGAUUGCUAAGAGAGCAUGAAACUGUGAGGUUAUUUCUCAUUUUGUGUGUUUUCCGGACUCUAAAUGAUCUGCUCCGAUGAGAUCAUUGUGUUUAUCAGAAUUUUUCUUCCUUUAGGCUAGAAUUCACAAAAUUGUUUAAUCUUAUUUUUCCCUAGUUUUUCUUACUAUUUGCCCUGUUCUUACUUGUCUGGAGCUGCUUCAACAAUAUGCAAUCCUUAUGGCUUAUAAUUUGAGAUGACCAAUGAGUUUCGUGUUUCCAGUGGUCAUUUCUAUUUGUUGAUCCUCUUAAAACAUCAUUUAACAUGUACUUAUUAGUGUGUGUUUUGCUUCCCUUGAAAGUAGCUGGUAUCUAUUAGCUUUUCUUGAAUCUUUUGUCCUGUUUAAACAUAAAGGAUGAGACUCCAUUCCCUGACUAAAUGGUUAAGUGCUUUGUUUUAAUCGAUGGUUAAGGCGUGUUGUUUUAUCUUGGUUUUGUUUUGUAGAAGAUGGCAGUGUUUAGCCCGAGCUAGCGACUGAGUCACGAGUUUGAGAUUAGGGAAAGUGUUUCUUUUACUGCCAUCUUGUUUGAAAGCAUAUGAUUAUAAGGUUGAAUCCCUUUUAUGAAUCUGUAUCGACUGGCGAAAGGGAUAGAUAAGCCAGUUUAACGAGGAGAUGAGUUCGAAGACGGAUUGUUGGAUGAACAUCUUAAUUAUGCUUGGGUUAACUUUGAUUGUUUCUUGUGUGGAAUGAUAACAAGCUGAACGUGAUAAAGCUCGACGAUCCUACGUGUUUUGUUUACUCCAGUGUUGUAAAAUUACAUUUUGAACAGACUCUCUUAGUUGCUGCAUGACCUCCCAGAGUGGCUGCUACAGAUGGGUUUGCAGAUUUGAAUGUUGAGUUGUUUGCGAGGUCUAUUUGUGUUUAAAUCAUAUACAUUUUACCCCUUAAGUUAGCUUAAAGCAUAUGAAUAGAGAAAAUGUUAUCAUGUUUAACACAGAAUCAUAUGCCUGUGGAUUUUAACGAACUAGGCAUCUGAUUUUGUCGGCUGCGAUUUGUCUAACAUUGCUGAUCAUUGAAGUUUAGAGGGCUAAUCUCUGACAGUGUUUGAUUAUUGGUAUAAAUGAUAUUUACACAAGCUAUUCUUUGAACUCUGCUUCGGAACAUGUGGUCUUUUAACAGCUGAAUGAUAAGAUAAUAAUUUUGCCCUCAACUCUUUCCAUGGCUGUGAUUAUGUGCUUGGACUUGAUAGAAAGGUAUCUGAGUCAUGUUUUCAUAUUAUUGUUGUUUUGACCUUGGAUUUCUGCAAUCUACAUCUUACAAUUUUGAUGUUUAUUGAAUAUCAAGGGGUGUAACUCAGAUUUCCAAACUGACCCUUCCUCGGAAUAUCUUUUGUUUGGCAUAGCUUGUAGGCAUCUGUAUCGGUGCAUCACUAAUAUUUGGAUGAGUUUUGUAGUUUCACAUUUAUGCCCUUCACUUAUUAGGACAUGAUUUUCUGGUAAGUGAACCUCAACUAGGGGGAGAGUGCAAGGGAAAAAUGCAUUUGGGUAGAUUCAUGAGUUAAGCAGAACAAUGUUAUUUUUCGUAACUCUGUGUGACAUGUUUCUUUUAUUUUAGGCUUGGUGUUUCCCCUUUUUCUUUUUAUUUUUAAAAUAUGCCUAUGUAUUGAAUUUCUUUCAGGGACUUUGGGCCUAGUAAAGUGUAGUCUCCAGCUCACGGUGAAAAUCGAUGUGCCAGCUAGAUCUCGAGUAACCCAUUUGCUUUAGUUGAGUAAAAUCCUUUAAAAUUAAAGUUGAGGUGCGCGAUACCAAAUAAAAUGACAAAUGUGUGGCCCUCGUAUUAUUAUUUAUUUUAAAAUACUUAAAAUUCGAGGCGUGCUAUUUAUCGAGUUUUUAUGGCCCUCGCAAAGUUAAUAACGCGUUAGUUGCUUUAGGUGCGUAUUAUAAUAAUUUAUCUUCUUAAAUAUGGGUGCGCAUUUAUGUGACCCAAAUCU
rnacentral:lncRNA from 1 species